AACCACCAAGAUGGAGGCCAAGAAAGACGACUCAGAUCCGUGUGGCCUUAAAGGGUGACAGUUUUCUACACCAGGAAUCCUGUCAGUGAUAAGACAGGUGAGGAAGAGCUAGUGCUUCCUGUUAGUUCAACCAGGGACAAAUAUCACGGCAGAUGGACAGUCACCUGAGGAUGAUGACAUCUGUGGGGGAUGACGCUCUAAUCAUAUAAGUCUAAUGUAAGACUCAUCCUAAAGUAUUAAGGGUUGCAUCUUUUUGCUCCUGGGAUGGAUAAAGAUGGAUCCUGAGAGGCUAAAGAUGUUUGCCAGCAAGUGUGACGACCUGAGUUUGAGUCCCAGACACCAGGGAGACGAAGGGGAUCAUCAACUUCCAGGAGCUGUUUUCUGACUUUUAUAGAUAACCCACCCAGCAGACAUAUACAAUGAAUAAAUACCUGGAAAGCUGUGUGAAAAUGAAGAUAAAAAAAUAA
rnacentral:sRNA from 1 species